CCUCUUAUGUGAUUUGAGACUUGGCCGUCCGAGAACAGAGGAAUGUGGAAGAGCUGGAAUUAGAGGGUAAAUAUGAAUGUCUCAAUGCCAGUUGUAUUUCAUGUAUUUUAUGUUUUCGGAAUAUGUGUAUUUUUCUAAAAUCUGAUAGAAGUUGAACUCAUUUGUCAAAUUUAAGCAUGAUAGCUGA